CCUACGGGCGGCUGCAGUGGGGAAUAUUGCGCAAUGGGGGCAACCCUGACGCAGCCAUGCCGCGUGUGUGAAGAAGGCCUUCGGGUUGUAAAGCACUUUCAAUGGGGAAGAAAAGCGUAGCGUUAAUAGCGUUGCGCCGUGACGUUACCCAUAGAAGAAGCACCGGCUAACUCCGUGCCAGCAGCCGCGGUAAUACGGAGGGUGCAAGCGUUAAUCGGAAUUACUGGGCGUAAAGCGCGCGUAGGCGGUUUGUUAAGUCAGCUGUGAAAGCCCCGGGCUCAACCUGGGAACUGCAGUUGAUACUGGCCGACUAGAGUACGAGAGAGGGAGGUAGAAUUCCAUGUGUAGCGGUGAAAUGCGUAGAUAUAUGGAGGAAUACCGGUGGCGAAGGCGGCCUCCUGGCUCGAUACUGACGCUGAGGUGCGAAAGCGUGGGGAUCAAACAGGAUUAGAUACCCUAGUAGUC
rnacentral:rRNA from 1 species